GACGAACGCUGGCGGCGUGCCUAACACAUGCAAGUCGUACGGGCUUGAGGGGCAACUCUCAAGUCAGUGGCGAACGGGUGCGUAACACGUGAGCAACUUGCCCUAUGGUGGGGGAGUAGCCGGCCCGAACGGCCGGGUAAGUACCGCAUAUGGCGCUGAGGUCACAUGGCCUUAGUGGGAAAGACGGCCGCAAGGUCGCGCCAAAGGUGGGGCGUCGCGACGUAUCAGCAGUUGGCGGGGUAACGGCCCACCAAGGCUACGACGCGUAGCUGGUCUGAGAGGAUGGCCAGCCACAUUGGGACUGAGAUACGGCCCAGACUCCUACGGGGAGGCAGCAGUGGGGAAUCUUGCGCAAAUGGGCGAAAGCCUGACGCAGCGACGCCGCGUGAGGGAUGACGGCCUGUUGU
rnacentral:rRNA from 1 species